rnacentral:rRNA from 1 species
AGAGAAGAAAGUGCGUGAGAGUAACUGUUCACGUUUCGACGGUAUCUAACCAGAAAGCCACGGCUAACUACGUGCCAGCAGCCGCGGUAAUACGUAGGUGGCAAGCGUUAUCCGGAUUUAUUGGGCGUAAAGGGAACGCAGGCGGUCUUUUAAGUCUGAUGUGAAAGCCUUCGGCUUAACCGGAGUAGUGCAUUGGAAACUGGGAGACUUGAGUGCAGAAGAGGAGAGUGGAACUCCAUGUGUAGCGGUGAAAUGCGUAGAUAUAUGGAAGAACACCAGUGGCGAAAGCGGCUCUCUGGUCUGUAACUGACGCUGAGGUUCGAAAGCGUGGGUAGCAAACAGGAUUAGAUACCCUGGUAGUCCACGCCGUAAACGAUGAAUGCUAAGUGUUGGAGGGUUUCCGCCCUUCA